GAGGAUGUGAUGGAGGGUGAGACAGGG
rnacentral:piRNA from 1 species